rnacentral:rRNA from 1 species
ACAUCCUAACGGGAGGCAGCAGUGGGGAAUAUUGCACAAUGGGGGAAACCCUGAUGCAGCCAUGCCGCGUGUGUGAAGAAGGCCUUCGGGUUGUAAAGCACUUUUCAGUAGGGAGGAAGGUAGUGCUUAGUUAAUCACCUGCAUUAUUUGACGUUACCUACACGAAGAAGCACCGGCUAACUCCGUGCCAGCAGCCGCGGUAAUACGGAGGGUGCGAGCGUUAAUCGGAAUUACUGGGGCGUAAAGCGCAUGCAGGCGGCCUGUUAAGUCAGAUGUGAAAGCCCGGGGCUUAACCUCGGAAUUGCAUUUGAAACUGGCAGGCUAGAGUCUUGUAGAGGGGGGUAGAAUUUCAGGUGUAGCGGUGAAAUGCGUAGAGAUCUGAAGGAAUACCGGUGGCGAAGGCGGCCCCCUGGCACAGAUACUGACACUCAGAUGCGAAAGCGUGGGGAGCAAACAGGAUUAGAUACCCUGGUAGCUACGAGU